rnacentral:rRNA from 1 species
UACCAGCACCCCGAGUGGUCGGGACGUUUAUUGGGCCUAAAGCAUCCGUAGCCGGUUCUACAAGUCUUCCGUUAAAUCCACCUGCUUAACAGAUGGGCUGCGGAAGAUACUAUGGAGCUAGGAGGCGGGAGAGGCAAGCGGUACUCGAUGGGUAGGGGUAAAAUCCGUUGAUCCAUUGAAGACCACCAGUGGCGAAGGCGGGCUUGCCAGAACGCGCUCGACGGUGAGGGAUGAAAGCUGGGGGAGCAAACCGGG